CAGCAGUUUUGACCAAGUGGCUGGUGCAGGUGUGAGCUGAGCAGGUGAUGUGCUCAGGGGAAAUACAGUACCUCAGCCCCUGACCUUCCUGAAGCUGAAGUUUGGAAGAGCCUUGCUGGUGGUGAUUCAGAUUCAUCCUGAAGGAUCUACUGCUGAUGGGAAUUCAUAAAAACACAGUGUCACUUCAUGAGGAGCAUAGGACAGCCUGGGACUCUCGUUCCUCUUUGAGGAUGAAAAGUUGGCAAUUUUAAAUGGACACACCACAAGCAGUAUAGUCAAAAGGAGAUGGAGGAAGAUUGGGAGCUCUGGCAGGUUUUGAAUCCUUGAAGAAUCAGACCCCAAGAAUGUUGAUCUUCAUAUUAAGGUGUUUAUAAGAGUGAUUGCUUUGCCGUGUUCUCCUUGAGGACCUGGCUGAGCAUCCAAAGAGGGGACAUACAUUGUCACCUCCACUGAGGCAGGCUGGCUUCUGCCACCAGAUCUGGUUUGUCACUAUGAGCUCCUAUGUGUGCUGUGCCAUUACUAACACUUGUAGGAACAAUAGGAGAUUUUGCUGUUCCUGUGCCUGGCAGCCUCAGUUUUCCUUGUUUGUCCUUGACUCUCCUCCUGUACUUGGACACAGGAAUAGUUCUCAGUCAGGCUGGUGGGUUUGCUUCAGCCCUGCUGUGUUGGUGCUUCCCUCCUCUGUCCUCACCAUGCCUGGCACAGCUGAGGCUGUGGGCUCUGCUUGCUGGCAGGGAGGUGGCACCUUGUUGGCAGUGCCACCACUAGGGUGACUUUGGCCAUAACACAGUUUCUCUGUGUCUUUGCAGCUUUCUGAGUCGGAGGUCUGUCAGCCUGAGGGUUCAUUUGCACAAACACCAUGGGUGAGAAAUCUAACACCGUGUUGGGCCAUGUUUAUUUUAAAUCUCUACUCUCUGUCAGAGAGCUCUGUCAGCCAAGGCAGUCCCCCAGCCCUUGGGAGCACCAGGGCUCUCCAGGCUGGACGUGGUGGGAGCUCUCCUGGUUUGCCUGAGAGCACCAUGAUGCUUUUUGGCAGCCCAAGCAACGGCAAAAAUGAUUUCUCCAUCUUCUUGUCUUAAAGUGAAGCAAGUUUAGUGAUGAGGGGAGAACAGAGUAAUACAGCUCAGGGAAGAGCUGUCUUCCCAGAGGGCUCUCACAGUGCAUACAAGGGAUUUUUAACCCUGGGGCCCCUCUGGACUUCUGGUCAGGUGUCUCAGGCUUGCAUGGGAAGCAGUAGUUUCCUGUCUGGCUGCAGAGCGUUGUGCAUGGUCUGGUCCAUCCUUGCUGUGGGUGGGAGAAAGGGUGAGCCUUUAUUUUUUUACACAUUUUUAAACUGGUGCACUGUUUCUCUCGCUCCUGUGUUGAUGGAUACUGCUGUUGUCCAUCCCAAGAAUGGCUCCAGGAGCAGGCUGAGUGAAGGUUGGGAUGCUGUACCCCUGUCUCUGGCUGUAAUAGGUGGGGUGGUGGUUCUCCCAGGAGGAAAAACACCUCAGAUGAACCAGUCUCCCAUGAUUCCCACGUGGAUCUGGUGGUGCAGUGAGUGUGCUGUGUGCUCUUGUCUGUGUGUGUCAGUCCCAGCACAGGCAGGGGCUCCUCCAGGCAAGAGAGAUGACUUUGGAGCUGGUCCAGAUGCACACAGAGCCCUGGCACUGUGUCCCUCCUGGCAUGGGCACCUUCCUCUGGGACACCACUUUGGGAAAUGUGUUGUUUCCCAUCUUUUCCUUGCCAGCUCUCAGCAGUUUCUGUGCGUGCCCACAAGAGAGCAACCCCAGCACAGGGUUGUUGUCUCCAGAGAGACAGAUUGUAGAAAUGAGUGUGAGGUCAAACCUGUCUUCCCUCACUCUUUCCAGCCCCUCCACCUCAUCCCAAACCUGAGCUGAACAGUGAGUUUAAGCCCUCUAUGUCCUGGGCAAGAGGAGUAUCCCACAGGGGACAUGCUGGAGGAGAGAGCAGGAGAACCUGGCUGUGUCCUCUACAGCAAACCCAGUGCCAUCUCCAGGAAAGAACCAUGCCAUGAAUUAGCAAGGGACAUCAAUCCAGGAGGUACAGGAAACAAGUAAGGCUUCAGACAGAGCUUAACUAUUUGGAUGGCUGAAAAUCUGCUGCUUUUUGCAGUUUCCUAUAAAUGCAUAGGCAAAUAGUACUCAGAGAAGCACAGAAUCAUUUAGUCUGGAAAAGACCUUUUAGAUCCUGGAGCCCAACAGACAUUUUAGUGUGUAUCUUUGAUGCUUGAAGAGGUAGCUGGGUGUCUUGGUGGGGUUUUUUAUGUAAGACUCUGUCCCAGUGUUUGAGGAAGGAGCAAACCCCUGUUUUUCAUGUAUCCUUAGGCUUUGUGAGUGUCACCUCAACCUCAGGGCUGGGAGGAAAUCCCAGGGUAGGUGGUCACAGCUGGCCUUGGAGGUGGGGUUCAACUAUGCAACAUCAAAUACUUCAACUGAGCUGCCUGGGUCAGGAGGGAGAGAUGGGCAGGAUUGGCCUUUCCUGGGAUGGACACAGCCCAAGGGACUGAAUCUCCUGCUGGAAGGACCUGUCCUCCCCUCUGUGUUCCUUUGAGUUGUAGGAGCAGCAUUCACAGGCCAGUGGGGCACCUUGGCAGCUGCAGCCCCAGCGCCUGCAGAAAUGGGCUUUGAAAGAAAGCUGAGGGAAAAAACAACUCCUUGCUAUUUUUAUCCUUGCACCAGCCCCUGGGGAUUUCGAUUGACAGGAUUAGUUAUGAAGCCAAUAUUAUGAGGUUAACUAUGAGUGAAAUAACACAACUUCUGUGGGAAGCAGAGUAAAAGAGGCAAUUAUACAGUAGUUUAAUAACAGCGAGCUGCUGGCUGGGUAGCUGAAAACUUACAGUUGACAGUAAUUAGAUUUUUCCAUUCUUCCUGUUAAAUAGCUAUAAAAAUUACAACAGAAAAUAAUCUGAUUCUCUUUUAUUUCAUGCUGUUUUCAUCAUCCAAUCGGUAUCCAUUUGGUCUGCUGAUUGUUCUUUAUAUGGUUUUAGUAUCUGGUAUUUAAGACAUGCAGAAAUGAGAAAAUGUUAAAAAAAUGCAGAAAGCACUAGGAAUGAGGGAAUGGCAGUAAUACUUUUCUGAGCACGAGGAAUCCAGGGGAUGCUUGAGUGGACAGUGAGGGCUUUCCAAAUUGACUAACUCUGAAUAACAGUUGGACUUCUAACCACAGGAGUUAUUCCAAAUCAUUUAAAAUUACAGUAAAAAAUGAGAUGUUAGGAAUUAAAUCCCCAUUUGCCUGUCUGUUACUGUAAUGUGCCAGGUGUAGAUAAGCAGGAGGGAUGGAGGGAGGUGCUAUGGCACAUCAGUCUGCACUGGUUGCUUGCUGCCUUCAUCUCCCUGCUGGGAUGGGAGCCCGUGCUGUGAUGUGAUUCUGGGCUUCGCUCCCACCUUGGGCUCCAUGCUGGGAUGGCAGAGUGAGUAGUGGGGGUGUUUGUUGGCUGGCAAAGAGCUGGACUUGGACAAAAAUCUGUGAGGUCCCUCAGAUCUGCAGGGCAUCUUCUCUUCCCAGUCUUUGCUGCUCUCCCACAGCCCUGCAGUGCUGGGAUUUGUGCCCUGCAGUGCUGGGGCUGUACAGGCAUCUCAUGUCCCUG